CAUCCCUUGACAUCCAGUGAAAUUUCCAGAGAUGGAUUAGUGCCUUCGGGAACACUGAGACAGGUGCUGCAUGGCUGUCGUCAGCUCGUGUUGUGAGAUGUUGGGUUAAGUCCCGCAACGAGCGCAACCCUUAUCCUUAGUUGCCAGCACGUAAUGGUGGGAACUCUGGGGAGACUGCCGGUGAUAAACCGGAGGAAGGUGGGGACGACGUCAAGUCAUCAUGGCCCUUACGGGAUGGGCUACACACGUGCUACAAUGGCGCAUACAAAGGGCAGCAAGCCAGCGAUGGUUAGCGUAUCUCAUAAAGUGCGUCGUAGUCCGGAUUGGAGUCUGCAACUCGACUCCAUGAAGUCGGAAUCGCUAGUAAUCGUGGAUCAGAAUGCCACGGUGAAUACGUUCCC
rnacentral:rRNA from 1 species